rnacentral:rRNA from 1 species
GUCCAUGCCGUAAACGUUGGGCACUAGGUGUGGGGAACAUUCCACGUUUUCCGCGCCGUAGCUAACGCAUUAAGUGCCCCGCCUGGGGAGUACGGCCGCAAGGCUAAAACUCAAAGGAAUUGACGGGGGCCCGCACAAGCGGCGGAGCAUGCGGAUUAAUUCGAUGCAACGCGAAGAACCUUACCAAGGCUUGACAUACACCGGACCGGGCCAGAGAUGGUCUUUCCCCCUUGUGGGGCUGGUGUACAGGUGGUGCAUGGUU